GCUUAUUUUUGUGGGCGCUCGGGCGCCGCCGUCCUGGCGGUAGUUCGAACUCGGUGUCUAGUCUCUAGCGACUUCUUAGGCUUUGGCUCUCCCUGCUGUCUACUCUCCAUUCUCGCCAGUUCUGGACAGGGGGACUCAGCAGUCAAAACAAAGCACUGAAUUGAAUCCUGCUGGUUGCUGGAAUUUAGCAGUAGUGGAAGCCAGCUGGUGGCAGCAGAAAAGACAGGAUAGAGGAUGCAAGGUGGCAGCAAAGAAUGCCUGAAUUCUAGAAGAUCAAGGCUCAAGUACCAUCACAGCUCACUUCAGCCUCAACUUUCUGGGCAAGUAAUCCUCCCAACUCAGCUUCUGAAGUAUCUGGGACAACAGCUGGCUUCCCAUCCAUUUGCUGAGAGCUACUUCGACCAUUCAAUAAAACCUUGCACUCAUUCUCCAAGCCCACAUAUGAUCCAACUUUUCCAGUACACCAAGAGAGAGGGUCUCUCACACUGUCACCCAGGCUGGAGUGCAGUGGUGCAAUCAUAGCUCAUUGUAGGGCUCAAGCAAUCCUCCUGCCUCGGCCUCCUGAAUAUCUAGAAGUACAGCUCUUGAUGCUUGGGCUUAAGAGUCCCAUGUGGCAAGGACUUGAAGGCAUCUUCUGGCCAACAGCCAGUGACGAACUGAGGCCCCCAGACCAAUAGCCUGUGAUAAAUGGAAUCCGGCUCACAACCACAUGAAUGAACUUAGAGGUAGGUCCUUCCCCAGUUGAACCUUGAGAUGACUGCCACUGUAGCCAACACCUUGACUUCCACCUUGUGAGAGGCCCUGAGCCAGAAGACCCAGCUAUGCCACACAGAUUCUUGACCCACAGAAAUGGUAAGAUCAUAAAUAUUGUUAUUUCAAGCCACUAAGUUUUGGGAGUAAUUUGCUAUUCAACAGUGGAUAACUAAUACUCCAAUCGAGAAUAGCAAUAAUCCCAAUUUAUUUUGCAUAUAUUUAGCCAUAUCUGCAUCACUGUUUCCAUUUAUGGCCAUGAUUCCUUAAGAGGAAUACUGAGACAAACCAGAAGGUACCCAAAAGAAGACUACUGAGGUGGGGAGGGGUGGUAAAAGAUCUGGGAAAUAUGUCAUUGAAGAACAGGUGAAUGAAUUGGGUGUGUUAUACCUGAAAAUUGAUCUAUAAUGUUUUUUUAAGUUUAAAAAAGACAGUGGAAAAGAAGCUGGAACUAGGAGCAAUAGAAAUCACUAAGACUUAGAAACCCAAAACCUCCUGGAGCCCAAUUUAUAAACAGAAGAUUUCAUGGGAGACUUUUCUCUUCUCCAUCUGAGGCCAAGAGCAGGAAAUUUCUUUAAGGUUUGCUCUGGGAUGGUUAAUUUGUUCUGCUUCACCCUCUGAGGGUCCAAUUUCUAAGUCUCUGAGCUUUAUAUUCUGUCCCCAAAGAUGGCCUGUUAUAGUGACACCUCUGGAGCACCUAAGAUCAGCAGAUGACAUCAGGAAAGCCACCAGCUUUAGAGCUUUAGCUUUAGAGCUCUCUUACCUCUCUGGAUUUGUGUUUUUACAUCCUGUAUUUUUUUUAAACUCUAAGGAUUUCCCUUAUUUUCUACUAUUGCAACUAUGCAUUUAUGAAAUGUUUUAAAUUUGUUAUUCUAUAUUUUGGGUCUUUUUGUACUAGGAUGGUUUUUUCAGGAUGGCUAAUAGGCUAUAUUGCUGGGAAUGGAAGUGCCUAUGAACUUUUCUUUUUAAAUGUUGUAAAACGUACAUAAUAUAACAAUUUGCAUUUUAACUAUUUUUAGGUAUACAAUUCAGUGGCAUUAUGUAUAUUUACAACAUUGUAUAACAGUCACCAUUAUCUGUUUCCAGAACUUUUUCAUCUUCCCAAAAAACAGAAUAUUUUAACCCAUUAAACAAUGACUCCCCAUUUUGCUUCCUGUAUAGCCCCUGAUAACUUCCUAUGGACCUGUUUUAAAAUGAAAAGUUAUUGCAGAUUUUGAGAAUACAUCUGCAGAACUCCAGAUAUUCUCAGACCCUAAAUUAAGAAAAAAUGGUCAAAGACCAUACAUUUUUAUUUUUUGAGAUAAGGUCUCUGGCAUCUAGGUUGCAGUGAAGUGGCAUGGUCAUAGCUCACUAUAACCUUGACCUCCCAGGCUCAAGCAAUCCUCCUGCCUCAGCCUCCUAAGUAGCUGGGACCACAGGGGCACACCGCGAUGUCUGGCUAAUUUUUAAACUUCUUGUGGAGAUGGGGUCUCGCUUUAUUGCACAGGCUGGUCUCAAACUCCUAGCCUUAAGUGAUCCUCCCACCCUGGCCUCCCAAAGUGCAGGGAUUAUACACAUGAGCCACUGUGCAUGGCCCAAAGACUAUAUAUUUAACAUUGUGGAAUCACACCAGGAAAGUGCUGUUGAUUACUGAUGUGCUCUGGGCCCAUAACCAGUGCCUUUUAAAGUUGAAAUGUGCUGCCAAUAUUCAUAUUUAAGAAAUUGCAAUUUGUUUCUUCUACCAUUCUCCAGAUGCCAUGCUGCUUCCUAAUUUUACCUUUACAAUUUUCAGCAAAAGACAAAUUCAUAAAAACCAAAAAAACCUCCUGCAGGAAAUAUCUGAUAUAGGCUGGUAGAUAUGGCUAAGAGGAGUAAGACAAAAGCUUACUACUACAUUUUAGGUGACAGAUUGGUCAAAUGUUUGUACUGGUACACAGUCACUAAAAGGAAAUAGCCACUCAGUGGUACCUUUUCUCUAGGAAAGUUCAGUUAACUUUAUAACUGAGGAUAUAUGAGAGAACAAGAUACGUCACUGGCUAAGCAUUCUUUCAUUCUCUCUCCGUAACUAUCUAGUAAAGAGAAUUUUGUCUUUGCUAUUCUAUUCUGCAUCUUUUAUGACGUGGAAUUGGGAGAAUGAGAUGGACUUAGAAAGACGUGGCCCUAAGAAGGGGUGUGUAAGAGGAAAAGAUUUAGUAAAAAGCCAAGUCAUGCCUGGGAUUAAAAUUAAAAGAAAAGAGAGAUGAAAGAAAAGUACUUGCUGGAUGCCACAGUGAGUUUUAGGGUUUGGACAGUGAAGGAUACUGUAGCAGAAUGGGGGAGGAGAAAAAAGCUGGCUUUAGGAUGGGUGUUGUCAGUUAUGAUUUGGACGGCCUUUGAUGUUCUUUGUUGUUUUCACUUUUUUCUUUUCUUUUGAGGUGUUGCUCAUGUACAGUCAGGUGCACAACCUUAAGGGCUGAACUCAAUGAGUUUUUACAUGUGUCUACACCUGUGUCACCGCCACCCAGAUCGAAAUACAGAAUAGAGCAGAACCUCACAUGCCUUCUUCCUCAUCCCCUUCCCAGUACUCACCCAACCAAGAAAUAAUCACUUUUCUGGUUUCUAGCACCAUAGAUUAAUUUUUGUCCGUUUUUUAACCUCAUAAAAAUGGAAUCGUACACCGGGCACAGUGGCUCAUGCCUGUAAUCCCAGCACUUUGGGAGGCCAAGGCAGGCAGAUCACUUGAGGUCAGGAGUUCGAGAUCAGCCUGACCAACUGGGUGAAACCCCGUCUCUACUAAAAAUACAAAAAUUAGCCAGGCAUGGUGGUGGAUGCUACUCAAGGGGCUGAGGCAGGAGAAUUGCUUGAACCCAGGAGGUGGAGGUUGCAGUGAGCCAAGAUCGCACCACUGCACUCUAGCCUGGGCAACAGAGUGAGACUCUGUCUCUAAAUAAAUACAUAAAUAAAUAAAUGGAAUCAUACAGUGUGCACUCUUUUGUGUCUAAUUCCUUAAGUGUUUUUUUGAGACAGGGUCUUACUCUGUUGCCCAGGCUGGAGUGCAGAGGUGUGAACAUGGCUCACUGCAGCCUCAACCUCCUGGGCACAAGUAAUCCUCCCACCUUAGCCACCGGAGUAGCUGGGACCACAGGCAUGUGCCACUACACCUAAUUAUUUUAUUUUUUAUAGAGGCAGAGUCUCACCAUGUUGUCUGGGCUCAUCUUAAACUCCUAGACUCAAGCAAUCCUCCCGACUUGGCCUCCCAAAGUGCUGGGAUAACAGGCAUGGGCUGCUGCGUGGCUUUAGUCUGAUUUCCUUCACUCAGCAUUAUAUCUACAAGAUUGAUUGAUAUUGUUUUAUAUAGCAAAAUAAGUUUUUAAAAGCACUGCAUUGUAGUUCAUAAAUUAUUCAUAUGUUCUAUAGUUGAUGGAUAUUUGUUUGUUAGAGCAUUUGGUUAUUAUGAAUAACAGUGCUAUGAAUAUUCUUGUCUGUAUUUGCUGGAGGAUGUAAAACACUCAUUUACGUUGAGUGUCUGUUCAGGUGUGGAAUUGCUGGGUCAUAAAGUGGACAUAUCUGUUGCUUUAGUAUUUUCUGUCAGGCAGUUUUCUAAAGUGGAUGUACCAGAGUACACUCCCACCAGCAAUGUGAGACAGUUCCAGUUACACUUAUCCUUACCUGGACUUGACAUUUUCAGUCCCUUAAUUUGAGUCACUUUUAAUGUUUUCUGCAGGGGCAUAAGCAGGGAUUAGAAAUCCUUUUAAAUUAUUUUAGUUCUUAAAUUCUGUUUUAGUGUAAAGGAUUCUAUACACAAUCUGGGUACAUGAAGCUUUGGAACUUACUUAGGAAAUCCCAAGGAUUUGGAAUUGUUCUCAUCUAGUUCAGCUGAGCUGGGAUAUUUUUGCUCCCCGCCUCCUUUUUUUUUGAGGCAGGGCCUCAUUCUGUCACCCAUCUGUCACCCAGGAUGAAGUGCAGUGGCACAAUCAUGGCUCACUGCAGCCUCAAACUCCUGGGCUCAAAGGAUCCUCUCAUUUCAGCCUCCUGAGUAGCGAGGACUACAGUCAUAUGCCACCAUCAUG